CAAACGUUUCCCCAGAUGACUCUUGAAAUCCGAAUUCUUAACUGAUGGGAUGAAACUUUUUACACAUAUGAUAUAUUUUGAAGUGAAAUGUGCCAGAAAGAAGACAUGGAAGUUCUAAAGGCCAUCAUAUAAACUAUGGUUUACUCUCCAACUACAAUGGAGCUCCAGGAACCAGGUGGUGACAAAGAAGAAAUUGGGCACAAGGAUAUCACUGCUGGACUGGAUUCAUAAAUGAAAAUAUUUCUCUCAGGCCUUCUGAUCUAUUCACAUGCUCACAUCCACAGUGGGAAUACAACUGAUGUUGAACCAUCUUUUAUUACAAGUACUCACCCCCAAGAAAAGGCUAUCCACGUGAUUUUAAAAUACAUUUCUA